GCGUGAGUGAAGAAGGCCUUCGGGUUGUAAAGCUCUUUUGGCGGGGACGAUGAUGACGGUACCCGCAGAAUAAGCCCCGGCUAACUUCGUGCCAGCAGCCGCGGUAAGACGAAGGGGGCGAGCGUUGUUCGGAAUCACUGGGCGUAAAGGGCGCGUAGGCGGCGCAGUCAGUCAGGCGUGAAAGCCCCGAGCUCAACUUGGGAAAUGCGCUUGAUACUAUUGUGCUAGAGAGCGGGAGAGGAUGGUGGAAUUCCCAGUGUAGAGGUGAAAUUCGU
rnacentral:rRNA from 1 species